rfam:Gossypium arboreum cultivar AKA8401 contig_6507_1, whole genome shotgun sequence.
UGUUAAAAAUUUCAUCCAUUUCUACUAUUAAAAGUUGGUGUGGUAUAUCAUGUGUACUUGAUACUAACGUACAAGGACUAGUUUUUAAUAGUAAAAAUGGAUAGAAUUUUUAACA